rnacentral:rRNA from 1 species
GACGAACGCUGGCGGCGUGCUUAACACAUGCAAGUCGAACGGAAAGGCCCUGUUUUUGUGGGGUGCUCGAGUGGCGAACGGGUGUGUAUCACGUGUGUAACCUGCCCUUGACUUUGGGGUAACUUCAGGAAACUGGGGCUAAUACCCGAUAGGAGCUCCUGCUGCAUGGUGGGGGUUGGAAAGUUUCGGCGGUUGAGGAUGGACUCGCGGCUUAUCAGCGUGUUGGUGGGGUAGUGGCUUACCAAGGCUUUGACGGGUAGCCGGCCUGCGAGGGUGACCGGGCCCAAUGGGACUGGGGAACCGGCCAUAGUCCUACGUGGGGCAGCAGUGGGGGAUAGUGCACAAUGGGCGGAAGCCUGAAGCAGCAACGCCGGGUGCUGGAAGACGGUCGUUGGGGUGUAACCCGCUUUCGAGUGUGACGAAGCGUGAGUGACGGUAAUGGGUAAAGAAGCACCGGCUAACUACGUG